GAAAGUGUGUUUGUUUGUUGGUUUGUCCUUCAAUCACUCCGCAAGGGAGCAACAGAUUUACGUGAUAAUUUCAU